rnacentral:rRNA from 1 species
GACGAACGCUGGCGGCGUGCUUAACACAUGCAAGUCGAACGGAAAGGCCCUGCUUUUGCGGGGUGCUCGAGUGGCGAACGGGUGAGUAACACGUGAGUAACCUGCCCUUGAAUUUGGGAUAAAUUUAGGAAAAUGGGGCUAAUACCGGAUAGGAUCUCCUGAUCCAUGGUGGGGGUUGGAAAGUUUCGGCGGUUGGGGCUGGACUCGAGGCUUAUCAGCUGGAUGGUGGGGUAGUGGCUUACCAAGGCUUUGACGGGUAGCCGGCCUGAGAGGGUGACCGGCCACAAUGGGACUGCGGUAGGGCCCAGACUCCUACGGGAGGCAGCAGUCGAGAACAUUACACAGUGAGCGGAAGCCUGAUGCAGCAACGCCGCGUGCGGGAUGACGGCCUUCGGGUUGUAAACAGCUGUCGCCUGAGACAAAGCGUGAGUGACGGUAACGGGUAAAGAAGCACCGGCUAACUACGUG